GUCUAUGACCAUGCUACCCUGAAUAAGCCCGAUCCUGACUUAUCGGAAGCUAAGCAGGGUCAGGCCUCAUUAGUACCUGGAUGGAAGAUCACCUAGGAAGACCAGGUGCCAUAGAUA
rnacentral:rRNA from 1 species